rnacentral:rRNA from 1 species
CGACCGCUGGCGGCGUGCUUACCACAUGCAAGUCGAACGGAAAGGCCCUGCUUGCAGGGUGCUCGAGUGGCGAACGGGUGAGUAACACGUGGGUGAUCUGCCCCUUACUUUGGGAUAAGCCUGGGAAGCUGGGUCUAAUACUGGAUAGGACCAUGCUGUAGGUGGUGUGGUGGAAAGAUUAGUUUCGGUAAGGGAUGAGCUCGCGGCCUAUCAGCUUGUUGGUGGGGUAAUGGCCUACCAAGGCGUCGACGGGUAGCCGGCCUGAGAGGGUGGACGGCCACAUUGGGACUGAGAUACGGCCCAGACUCCUACGGGAGGCAGCAGUGGGGAAUAUUGCACAAUGGGCGCAAGCCUGAUGCAGCGACGCCGCGUGGGGGAUGACGGCCUUCGGGUUGUAAACUCCUUUCAGCCAUGACGAAGCCCUUGUGGUGACGGUAGUGGUAGAAGAAGCACCGGCUAACUACGUG